GACGAACGCUGGCGGCGUGCUUAACACAUGCAAGUCGAACGGAAAGGCCCUGCUUUUGUGGGGUGCUCGAGUGGCGAACGGGUGAGUAACACGUGAGUAACCUGCCCUUGACUUUGGGAUAACUUCAGGAAACUGGGGCUAAUACCGGAUAGGAGCUCCUGCUGCAUGGUGGGGGUUUGAAAGUUUCGGUGGUUGGGGAUGGACUCGCGGCUUAUCAGCUUUUUGGUGGGGUAGUGGCAUACCAAGGCUUUGACGGGUAGCCGGACUGGGAGGGUGACCGGCCACAUAGGGACAGAGGUGGGGGCCGGAGGGCAACGUGAGGCAGGAGUGGGGAAUAGUGCAAGAUGGGCGGAAGCCUGAUGCAGCAACGUCGGGUGGGGGAUCACUGCUGUCGGGUUGUAAACCGCGUUCGCCUGGGACGAUGCGUGUGUGACGGUAAUUGGUAAAAAAGCACCGGCUAACUACGUG
rnacentral:rRNA from 1 species